UGCCACUCAACUAGUAAGGUCACUUGACCCACGGGUUUAAACCCGUGGGUCAAGUGACCUUACUAGUUGAGUGGCA
rnacentral:pre_miRNA from 1 species